rnacentral:tRNA from 1 species
GCGCGCAUAGCUCAGCUGGUAGAGCAAUGGACUCUUAAUCCACAGGUCGGGGGUUCGAAUCCCUCUGCGCGCACUA